rnacentral:misc_RNA from 1 species
GAAAUGCGAUAAGUAAUGUGAAUUGCAGAAUUCAGUGAAUCAUCGAAUCUUUGAACGCACAUUGCGCCCGCCAGCACUCUGGCGGGCAUGCCUGUUCGAGCGUCAUUUCAACCCUCAGAACCCCUUGCGGGAUCUGGCGUUGGGGAUUGGCAUCCAGCCAGCCCCGAAAUCUAGUGGCGGUCCCUCCGCGACCUCCCCUGUGCAGUAGCGAUACCUCGCAGCGGGACAGCGGUCUGACCACGCCGUAAAACCCCCAACUUCUCAAGGUUGACCUCGAAUCAGGUAGGAAUACCCGCUGUACUUAAGC